CCUACGGGUGGCAGCAGUGAGGAAUAUUGGUCAAUGGGCGAGAGCCUGAACCAGCCAAGUCGCGUGAAGGAUGAAGGACCUAUGGUUUGUAAACUUCUUUUAUAUGGGAGUAAAGGGAGGACCGUGUUCCUUUUUGUAUGUCCCAUAUGAAUAAGCAUCGGCUAACUCCGUGCCAGCAGCCGCGGUAAUACGGAGGAUGCGAGCGUUAUCCGGCUUUCUUGGGUUUAAAGUGUGGGUAGGUGGGUAAUUAAGUCAGGGGUUAAAGUUUGUGGGUCAACCCUACAAGUGCCGUUGAAACUGGUUGUCUUGAGUAUAUUUGAGGUAGGCGGAAUGCGUGGUGUAGCGGUGAAAUGCAUAGAUAUCACGCAGAACUCCGAUUGCGAAGGCAGCUUACUAACCUAUAACUGACACUGAUGCACGAAAGCGUGGGGAUCAAACAGGAGUAGAUACCCCUGUAGUC
rnacentral:rRNA from 1 species